GAUGAACGCUGGCGGCGUGCCUAAUACAUGCAAGUCGAGCGAACAGAUAAGGAGCUUGCUCCUUUGACGUUAGCGGCGGACGGGUGAGUAACACGUGGAUAACCUACCUAUAAGACUGGGAUAACUUCGGGAAACCGGAGCUAAUACCGGAUAACAUAUUGAACCGCAUGGUUCAAUAGUGAAAGGCGGCUUUGCUGUCACUUAUAGAUGGAUCCGCGCCGUAUUAGCUAGUUGGUAAGGUAACGGCUUACCAAGGCAACGAUACGUAGCCGACCUGAGAGGGUGAUCGGCCACACUGGAACUGAGACACGGUCCAGACUCCUACGGGAGGCAGCAGUAGGGAAUCAUCCGCAAUGGGCGAAAGCCUGACGGAGCAACGCCGCGUGAGUGAUGAAGGUCUUCGGAUCGUAAAACUCUGUUAUCAGGGAAGAACAAAUGUGUAAGUAACUGUGCACAUCUUGACGGUACCUGAUCAGAAAGCCACGGCUAACUACGUG
rnacentral:rRNA from 1 species